GACGAACGCUGGCGGCGUGCUUAACACAUGCAAGUCGAACGGAAAGGCCCUGCUUUUGUGGGGUGCUCGAGUGGCGAACGGGUGAGUAACACGUGAGUAACCUGCCCUUGACUUUGGGAUAACUUCAGGAAACUGGGGCUAAUACCGGAUAGGAGCUCCUGCUGCAUGGUGGGGGUUGGAAAGUUUCGGCGGUUGGGGAUGGACUCGCGGGUUAUCAGCUUGUUGGUGGGGUAGUGGCUUACCAAGGGUUUGACGGGUAGCCGGCCUGGGAGGGUGGCCGGCCACAAUAGGACUGAGAGAGGGACCAGACUCCUACGGGAGGCAACAGUGGGGAAUAUUGCAGAAUGGGGGGAAGCCUGAUGCAGCAACGCCGCGUGCGGGAUGCCGGCCUUCGGGUUGUAAACCACUUUCGCAUGUGACGAAGCGUGAGUGACGGUAAUGGGUAAAGAAGCACCGGCUAACUACGUG
rnacentral:rRNA from 1 species